UCUGCCUGGCUCUGUGUCUGGCUGGCUGGGCUGUAUCUGGUGCUUCUGUUGAAGCUCAGAAGACCUCCCCAGUCUGUUACCUCUGUAACCAUGAUAACUGCCCAACCGUUGAGUAUGUUUAUGACCAUUUUACUGCUAAUUUGACUCUGUGGUCGCGAGGUAAAAUGGUGGACCUCCCUCCCUGCCCCACCCACUCCCCUCUGUCAUCUGGAGGAUGCUUGGUGUGUGUUGACAACCAGAAGAUCUACGCUGUGUGUGACUCAGAUCAUCAAGCCAGUCUUUGAGGGCCAAGGCAACUCCAUGCCUAUCAUCAAAGCCAGUGAGUUUCUGUGGGGGCCCAUGAAAGUACAACCUGGGAAGAGGAUAGUCAACAGAGGGAACAAACAAAGCAGUUUACAGGAAAUGGUCAUAGGUGUCAAUUUAUUAUUGCUAAGGUGCCAUUGGAAGUUGUAGUUUAUUAUACAGUAUGGUAUAUUGCUUUAUUGUGUCUCAAACCAGUCACUGCUAUGAGCAUUUCCCAGCUGAUCCAGCCCUUUGUUGUAGGGACUCAUUCCUGUACUGUCAUUACAGAUUGCCCCAGCAUUGUUUCAACUAAUAAUACCUGUCCUGUCAUUACAGAUUGCAAAAGCAUUGUUUCAACAUAAUAAUACCUGUACUGUCAUUACAGAUUGCAAAAGCAUUGUUUCAACUGAUUGGACGGGUGAGUGCCAUUCAAUAUUCAAACUGUAUUUCACUUUGUUGUUCAUCGAGGAAUUUCUACAAAUCUAUUCUGAAGAUCAACAAUCUGUAGUAGUGUAUAACAGUCUUAGAUGAUGAUUAGUGUUCAAAUGCUCCCCUGUCCUCCUCUCCCACAAACAGAUCCAAAUGUCCCCACUUCCACCCCUGGUGGUACUGGGAGGUUAUCUAAGGAAGAAGAGAUCACUAUUGGCAUUUUAGCUGCUACCCUCUCCUUCCUUGCCAUCCUCGGCAUUGUUGCUUGGCGCUACAAGGACCAGAUUAAGUGUCUUCCAGUGGCCCUUCCAGCGGUCAAACCAGGGGAACCCCAGUGUUAUCCAAAUGAACUGAAGAAAGAGUUUGAUACCAUCAGCCGAGGAAUAGUUGGACCUGCAGGGAAUAGGGGUGUGCCAAGAUUUGAAUCUCAUUUACAUUUACCCUGUUUAGAAAUGUAUUGGAUAUGUCCUAUUUAA
rnacentral:lncRNA from 13 species